CACAAAAUGAACCCAGUUUACCUUCAUGGAAAGUGAUCCGACGUUCUUCUGGGGGUACAAAACGCUCCUUUGCCACUUGCACUACUUUAGAAACUUGAGAGAGCAAAACAGCAGGGGAGAAAUAGAAAUGGAGAUUGCGUGGUGCUGUAAAUCCUGACAGGACUGAAACACAGAGACAACGGUCGUAGAACAAGUGCAGUACUUAUCCAUAGCUUACAAAAGAAGACAGUUCAAAGUUCUGAUGACACUUACCUCCCAGAUCAUAAAUGACCGUGAAAGCUGAAAGGUCAAAUGCAGCAAUCACAUCUCUGCCACAAAUACUCCAAAUUGCAUUUAAACCAUACAUGAAUUUGAUCAUCUCUUCUUCUGAUCUAGUCAUUUAAAAGAACAUUA